UACGUAGGGGGCAAGCGUUGUCCGGAAUCAUUGGGCGUAAAGAGCGUGUAGGCGGCUCGAUAAGUCCGCUGUGAAAGUCCAGGGCUCAACCCUGGAAGGCCGGUGGAAACUGUCGGGCUAGAGUCCGGAAGAGGCGAGUGGAAUUCCCGGUGUAGCGGUGAAAUGCGCAGAUAUCGGGAGGAGCACCAAUGGCGAAGGCAGCUCGCUGGGACGGUACUGACGCUGAGACGCGAAAGCGUGGGGAGCAAACAGG
rnacentral:rRNA from 1 species